AGCUCCAAUAGCGUAUAUUAAAGUUGUUGCAGUUAAAAAGCUCGUAGUUGAAUUUAUGGCGAUUGCAUAAGCAGGCUUCGGUCGUUUAUGUGGUCGUCAUCCGCUUGGAAAUCCCGUACGGUCUUCAUUGGUCGGCGGGAGGAUCAGGCAUUUUACUUUGAAAAAAUAAGAGUGUUCAAGGCAGGCAAUCGCCAUGAAUACACAAGCAUGGAAUAAUGGAAUAGGACUGUGAUCCAUUUUAUUGGUUAUUGGAUUACAGUAAUGAUUAAUAGGGACAGUUGGGGGCAUUAGUAUUUAAUUGUCAGAGGUGAAAUUCUUGGAUUACUUAAAGACUAACUUAUGCGAAAGCAUUUGCCAAGGAUGUUUUCA
rnacentral:rRNA from 1 species